CUCCUCUCAGAUAACUCCAGCUUGUGUCAAGCUGACUUAAAAACCAGCCAGCACAAGUGCCACAGCUCAUGUCAGUUCAGUUUCUCAUUCAGGUCAUUUCCCCAAUACCUAUGGUGGUGAAUACAGUACUUUCAAAAAAAAAAAAAAAACGCUGGCUUAGUCAUAGGAGCUGCUGGAUCUAUUUUUAUUCAAGACCUAAAGAGUUCCUGUUUGUUUGUUUGUUUGUUUGUUUUUGAGACAGGGUAGUCCUGUGUAGUCCUGGCUCAGAUCUGCCUGUUAUCAGUCUUUGCUGGUAUUAAAGAUUUGAAAUCCUGGUGACUUAAUAAGACUCCUGACUCUCCACAGCCAACCUCAAUCAUAACACGAAAUAGAAUCUACCUGGAAAACAUUCUUUUGGCACAAAACUCCUUUUAUUGUAUGUUGAUUCUUUACAACCUCAAUUUUAAGAAUGCUUAUCAAUAACUACAAGAGAUAAAGGCCAGAAGAGGGCGUCAGAUUCCUGGGUCUGGAGCUACAGACGGUUGUGAUGUGUGGUGUGUGCUGCAGCAGUGGUUGCUGGGGAUCAAACCUGGGUCCUCUGGAUAAGCAGUCAGUGCUUUUAACUGCUGAGCCUUCUCUCCAGCCCCAAGUAUUAUAUUAUCUUUAAAGGUAUUGUUGAGAUAUAAUUAAUUUACAGCAAACAGCAUAUAUUUAAAGCAUUUGAUUGAUGAAUCUGAUCGACCCGCAUCCUGAGUCCAUCAAGAUAAUCAAGACGACACAUUCUGACCAUGUCCAAAACCUCCCCAAUGUCCCCUCAUGAUUUAUGUCUCCCUAUCAACCUCAUGCUCUGACAAUCAACAACUUACUUUAUCACUGUAAAUUAGUUUGUAAGUUUUAGGAUUUUAAGGAAAUUAAAUUCUGCACAAAAC
ensembl:lincRNA Gm26838 predicted gene, 26838